AGAGUUUGAUCCUGGCUCAGAUUGAACGCUGGCGGCAUGCUUUACACAUGCAAGUCGAACGGCAGCACGGGUGCUUGCACCUGGUGGCGAGUGGCGGACGGGUGAGUAAUACAUCGGAACGUAUCCUAAAGUGGGGGAUAACGCAUCGAAAGAUGUGCUAAUACCGCAUACACUCUGAGGAGGAAAGUAGGGGAUCGAAAGACCUUAUGCUUUUGGAGCGGCCCAUCAGCUAGUUGGGGUGGUAAAAGCACACCAAGGCGACGACGGGUAGGGGACCUGAGAGGGUGACCCCCCACACUGGGACUGAGACACGGCCCAGACUCCUACGGGAGGCAGCAGUGAGGAAUAUUGCACAAUGGGCGCAAGCCUGAUGCAGCGACGCCGCGUGGGUGAAGAAGGUUUUCGGAUCGUAAAACCCUUUUCUGUGUGACGAGCAAGGACGGUAGCACAGGAAUAAGUCUCGGCUAACUACGUGCCAGCAGCCGCGGUAAAACGUAGGAGACAAACGUUAUCCGGAGUUACUGGGCGUAAAGGGCGUGUAGGUGGUUUUGUAAGUCUGGCGUGAAAUUUUUCGGCUUAACCGGGAAAGGUCGUCGGAUACUGCAGGACUAGAGGACGGUAGAGGCGUGUGGAAUUCCGGGUGUAGUGGUGAAAUGCGUAGAGAUCCGGAGGAACACCAGUGGCGAAGGCGACACGCUGGGCCGUACCUGACACUGAUGCGCGACAGCAUGGGGAGCAAACAGGAUUAGAUACCCUGGUAGUCC
rnacentral:rRNA from 1 species